rnacentral:rRNA from 1 species
UAUCUAAGCCAUACUAGCUCGUCAGAGCCUCAUCUUGUCAGAUCUCAGAAGCUAAGCAGGUCUGGUUAGUACUUGGAUGAGAGACCACUGGAAAUACCAGUGGGGUGC